ensembl:snoRNA
ACUUUCCCCUAGAGGCUUUGCAAGUGUGACUGCUGUGUCACAUGCAUGUCUGUGGUACAGAAAGGAGAGUGGUUAUAUCUAUGCUCAGUGUUCUGACCUGUGAACACCUGAAUGUUUCAACCACCAGU